CCCGCCAAGUCCGAGCGGCCGCGCCAGCGCUCCCCCCAUGACGCGGGGACCCGGGGACCCCGGAGCAUCUCGGGGAGAUGGGCUGACACACGCGAUCAGCCCUUCAGCAUCUCCACCGACGAUCAAUUAGAUGUGUCACGGCCGCCGGGGUUCCCAGGGAAGGGGAGCUGGGCCCCCCCGGGAGUACGGGGAGGAGACGGCCCUGACGCCCGGGGCACGCAGCCAAACCGGGAGGCCGAGGGACCACGCGGGGCGCACAGGGCCUGGCCGCCAGCGUGGGGCUUGGACGGGGCUACCCGGGGUCAAGGGCGUCUGAGGAGCGGGGGCCCAGCUCCCCCCUUCGUGCUCCAGAGGCAGCCAGGCCGCGCUCCCUUCCCCGAGGGGCCUGGGGCACACGCGCCCACGCGGAGGCGGCACAUGAGGGCGAACUCCCCCAGCACGGGUGGCAGCUGGAGCUGCUCGUCCCCGCAGAGCCUGGACAGUCGGCCCUGGGGGCUGGCCUGUGCCUCCGUCCCCCUGCGCCCUCAGGGCCCGGCACAGCGGGUGGGAACUGCUUCCCAGUAUGUGGCCUCCCCUGCAGCCCCCACGAAGCUGAGCCCCCGGGGCUGUCUCCGCUUUUCCUGCCCCACCAGGACGCCCCAGCCGCGGGGACAGCGCCUGGCGAGGACCAGGAGAGGACGUGCUUCUGGGCUCCGGGUCCUGGAGGCUCGGGACACAGCGCCGGGUGCCGACCCGGGACCCUGGGACAGGAGGGCAGGAGGGGCCACAGGACAGCCCCCCCGCCUGGCAGGCCUGAGACGCAGGGGGAGUGUCCGCAAGGCGCCCGCCCGCCUGGGGCGGAGACCCCCAGGGUCCCCAGGAGGAGCCCUCCCCGGAAGAGACCACGUGCGACCCCGAAUCGACCGCCCCAGGGGCUGAGCAGGGCCCAGGCUGCGGUGCCCAGACAACGUGGACUAGGUGCGGUCGGAGCAGACAGCCCUGCCCCGCUCCCAGACUUCACCACCGAGUUUGGGCUUACCUGCAGGACGGCUCAGGAAGAUGCAGGACCAGUCGGACUGUCUCCUUCGCCGUUGUCAGUGUCGGCAGCCGUCCUUUCCCAGGAGUUCGUGCCGCCGCAGAGGUUGGAUCUAUUGACACAAAGUCAUUCGCGUCACUUCUCCACCUCCUUCCGUGCUCCACAUCCCUUCUUUCCUUCUCAAUGUCCGUGUGUCUUUUACUUUCGCUACAGAGUUUUCGAAUCCAGUUCUGCCUUGUUGUCUUUUUUGUUUGUUUUCUAUUUCAUUAAUGUCUGCUACUGUUUUUUUUUUUUUUUUAUUUACUUAUGA
rnacentral:lncRNA from 1 species